rnacentral:tRNA from 1 species
CAGGGAGACAACAAAAUGUUUAAUAUUAUUAUUUUGUCACCUUAGGUCGAUCGGUAUCUCACAUUCUUAAUUUAUUAAGAAUUUCAUUUUCUAAGUUUUUCUAGGUCACACCCAUUAUUUUUCCUGGGCCAUUAGCUCAGGUGGUUAGAGCGCACCCCUGAUAAGGGUGAGGUCCCUGGUUCAAGUCCAGGAUGGCCCAUAUCUCUAUGUUGGGGGUAUAGCUCAGUUGGUAGAGCGCCUGCUUUGCAAGCAGGAUGUCAGCGGUUCGAGUCCGCUUACCUCCACUGAUUACCACCUCUUCCAUAACCGGUAGUAAAGGAAAUGUUUUGAGUUGUGAUCAAAUUCUGAAAGAAUCUAGCUUCCUAAUGUAUUCGUUAAGAUGCUGGAUUCAUUGAAUUAAUUUCAUUGUUUUCAGAGAACCUUGACAACUGCAUAGAUUAUUUUUAAAGACAAUAAGCAUCUUUAAUGAUGCAGAUUUAUUAUUUGUGCGAAUGCAUUAAUAACAAUUCUAUUAAGCUGAUGCUUCAAUUUUUGAAGUUAUU